rnacentral:ncRNA from 3 species
ACAAAUCGUAGAGGUGCAAAUCCGAUAAGUACUUUUUCUGAGUGGAGAACGAGGAGGAAAAAGGAAAGGCGUAUUUGCCGAAAUCAGUUAAGCGUCAUCUUAAUUGGUUGGGGUCGUUACCGAAAGGGACGACACUGUCGUAAUCCUUGUAUUACGGAGUGCUACUGCUAGG